AUGCUCAAGCUUUACAACAGUGAGCUCUUGACGCACUUGCCGAUCGAGCACACCACCCUCGUGGUGCUCCUGCACAAUGUGUGCCAUACCUACACCAACCUUGAAAGGCAAAUAUCAAAGGUCAUAUCAUAUUUUUCACUCUUAAAGGAUUCAUUAACUUUAUCCAUUUCACUUGAUCAUUGUUUGAUUCAUAUGCUAGAUUUGUCAUCCGUAAUCAACCAUUUUCUCUUCCAUUCACAUUUAUUAGAAGGGGCGCUUAUGGCUGUAAAAUUGACUUCAUUAUCGCGCGGUGGGGAUUCCCUCGUGCAGGGAAGAUAUGUCAAUUUGUAG
rnacentral:rRNA from 1 species